GGGCCUAUAGCUCAGCUGGUUAGAGCGCACGCCUGGUAAGCGUGAGGUCGAUGGUUCGAGUCCAUUUAGGCCCA
rnacentral:tRNA from 1 species